rnacentral:rRNA from 1 species
UACGGAGGGUGCAAGCGUUAUCCGGAUUCACUGGGUUUAAAGGGUGCGUAGGCGGGUUGGUAAGUCCGUGGUGAAAUCUCCAAGCUUAACUUGGAAACUGCCGUGGAUACUAUCAAUCUUGAAUAUAGUGGAGGUGAGCGGAAUAUGUCAUGUAGCGGUGAAAUGCUUAGAUAUGACAUAGAACACCCAUGCGAAGGCAGCUCGCUACACUAUUAUUGACGCUGAGGCACGAAAGCGUGGGGAUCAAACAGG